AGUGAACGCUGGCGGUAGGCCUAACACAUGCAAGUCGAACGGCAGCACAGGAGAGCUUGCUCUCUGGGUGGCGAGUGGCGGACGGGUGAGGAAUACAUCGGAAUCUACUCUGUCGUGGGGGAUAACGUAGGGAAACUUACGCUAAUACCGCAUACGACCUACGGGUGAAAGCAGGGGACCUUCGGGCCUUGCGCGAUUGAAUGGGCCGAUGUCGGAUUAGCUAGUUGGCGGGGUAAAGGCCCACCAAGGCGACGAGCCGUAGCUGGUCUGAGAGGAUGAUCAGCCACACUGGAACUGAGACACGGUCCAGACUCCUACGGGAGGCAGCAGGGGGGAAUAUUGGGCAAUGGGCGCAAGCCUGAUCCAGCCAUACCGCGUGGGUGAAGAAGGCCUUCGGGUUGUAAAGCCCUUUUGUUGGGAAAGAAAUCCAGCUGGCUAAUAUCCGGUUGGGAUGACGGUACCCAAAGAAUAAGCACCGGCUAACUUCGUGCCAGCAGCCGCCGUAA
rnacentral:rRNA from 1 species